CUACCACGGUGACGCCCUCAGAUGCGGAAUUUCUAUGCGCCAAGCCUUUCAAAGUCUGUAGCCGUUUUAAAGCAAGAGGGAAAACCACUUUGCGAAGGGACAAACUACAGUUGCUGGUUCAACAGGAGGGAAACAUUUAUGAGACACCUGAGAUACUUGGAAGAUCCGGACUCCAGCAGAAAUUUGCACAAAUGAACACACCCAUCAACAAGCUGAUUCAGUCCUCGUCAAAUCUAGAUCUCCAUCAGCAUUGUGCCAUCAUCCCUGAGCAGCAGACGAGGAAGCUGAGGUUCCAGGAGGCGAAGUCUUUUUCUGACGGCCACACACAACUUAGGGACAAUGUCAGGAGCUGAGCCGAGUCCCCUGGCUCCUGAGCAGACACGAGGCCCCAGCAGGGAACCGAAGCCGGCACCACGCGCAGUCCCCGUAGGAGCACAAGACCCGCUCGCAGCCUUAGAGGAAACGCAGAAGAACAGACUCAAUUUAACGCAAAGCAAGAGGGACGAGCAACAUAUGCUGGGGGCGGAGAGGGAGCUGAGAGCUGCAGGAAGCGUUUGGAAGGGUGUGUGCCUCUUUCCCCAGGAUUAUUAUUUUAGACUCAUUAUCUGUUCUGUUCGUGCAGAUAAGUUCUCCCAGAGCUGCACCGGAGGCAUAAAAGCGAUGAAUAGAUGACAUUCUGCAAAUGAAACUGUACUUUUUCCUGUGGCAACGUGUGUGUCUGGGUGCGGGUGCCCAUGUGUGGAAUUUGGGGUGCUUGCAUGUGUGUGUUUGGUUGGAACUUAACAAUAAAGUGAUCACAGCAA
ensembl:lncRNA